GCGUCCUCUCAUAAUCUCGGACAACAGUUCAGUUUCUCACCUGAAAUUUGAACAUCACUUUGGUUCGGGAUUUCUCUCUUCCUUUUUGGAGGAAACCAUAGACUUAUGCUACUGUGCUCCGUUGAAUAUACCGAAUGGUGCUCCGAAAGUAUAGGAUGUCGGUGUAGAAGAAAUUCAUGUCAGAUGUGUGGUGCGAUUUCCUGUGUGAAACGAGUGAGAAUUUGUUAAAAAUAAAUCCAUCCCAGAAAAAAAAUCGACAGAAAUUGUGAUUCCGUCGAGGCUGAACUGAAUAUUUUACGCGAUUU
rnacentral:lncRNA from 1 species